rnacentral:rRNA from 1 species
UUGAACGCUGGCGGCAUGCCUUACACAUGCAAGUCGAACGGCAGCACGGGGGCGACCCUGGUGGCGAGUGGCGAACGGGUGAGUAACGCAUCGGAACGUACCCGGAAGUGGGGGAUAACGUAGCGAAAGUUACGCUAAUACCGCAUAUUCUGUGAGCAGGAAAGAGGGGGAUCGCAAGACCUCUCGCUUCCGGAGCGGCCGAUGUCGGAUUAGCUAGUUGGCGGGGUAAAGGCCCACCAAGGCGACGAUCCGUAGCGGGUCUGAGAGGAUGAUCCGCCACACUGGGACUGAGACACGGCCCAGACUCCUACGGGAGGCAGCAGGGGGGAAUUUUGGACAAUGGGCGCAAGCCUGAUCCAGCCAUGCCGCGUGAGUGAAGAAGGCCUUCGGGUUGUAAAACUCUUUCGGCAGGAACGAAACGGUGAGCUCUAACAUAGCUUGCUAAUGACGGUACCUGAAGAAGAAGCACCGGCUAACUACGU